UACAAGAAAUCCACAUCAGCGCAUUCAGCUUAGCAAUCUUUGUCUUACACGUUAAUAGCAUGGUUCCUUUAUAAACGUGGCAUUUGCUUUUAAUGGCCGUGGAGCAAUUCUUAAAGGUAAUUUAUUCAUUUUUGACCUUGGUACCCACAUAGUUACUACUCGAGUUUUUUCAAAUUCUAAACAAUACAUUCAAUAUUUAACUUAAACAAUUACAGAGGAAUACAAGAAACAGGUUUUCCAUACAAAUUACCACAUCCGAGAGGCUAUCGGCCAAGAAUGUAGAAUAGAAAACCAAAUCAAAUAUCGUUGAAUUAUAAGUUUAUGUUAAUGUUAAUCUCAGUGGAUAUGGCUUUUAUGAUGGCUACUAUACCGGCAUCUGUAAACCAUUUCACCACUUCAGAACUGAAACGUAAUUACUUUUAUGUAUUUUUAUUUAUCAUAAUUUACACAGAACCAUAUUAUAUUUUAAAUGAACAUACACAACGUGAUC